AUCGCUUCUCUGCUUUUUGGCUAAGAUCAAAUGUAGUAUCUGUUCUUCUAAGUUUAAAAGCACAGAGUGUUCCUGGAGCAGUAGACAUGUGGCCAAGGGAAUGAAGGGCAGGGGACCAGGCGCCAAGUCAGUGAUGACAUUUUGGUUAGACUGUGA
rnacentral:snRNA from 1 species